UCCUCAGACCCCAGGUAUCAUAUAUGAUACCUCAGGUUUAUAUUUUAUUCUCGGCCUCCAGCUCCAUUUAGCCGCACGUACUCGAUGGUAUCAUAUAUGAUACACUGCUAAAUACGCGCCUAAUUUUUUGAUGCGAUGUUGGUUGCAUACGGCGGCAAGAAAAGUCAGUCGAUUGUUUAUGUUUACAAGUGCACGUGCUACGAUCAUGCCUCUACCACGAAAUAAAAGGCCUUUGACCGCGUUGGAGCUUGAAGAGAUAGCUCUCAACUUGGACUUCGAUCAGUCGGACCUCGAUGAUCUCUCUUCGGACGAUAUUUGAUUUUAACUAAAAAACCUUCUGAACAAUGUGAAGGAAAUUCGGAACAAAGUGAAUGUGAUGAAGAAGAGACACCGCCUCUGAAACAAAGGAAGGUACAACCU